rnacentral:rRNA from 1 species
CCUACGGGAGGCAGCAGUGAGGAAUAUUGGUCAAUGGACGCAAGUCUGAACCAGCCAUGCCGCGUGCAGGAAUACGGCUCUAUGAGUUGUAAACUGCUGUUGUACGGGGGUAAAUGCAGAUACGCGUAUCUGUCUGAAAGUAUCCUACGAAUAAGGAUCGGCUAACUCCGGGCCAGCAGCCGCGGUAAUACGGAGGAUUCAAGCGUUAUCCGGAUUUAUUGGGUUUAAAGGUUGCGUAGGCGGUCGGAUAAGUUAGAGGUGAAAUCCCGAGGCUCAACUUCGGAAUUGCCUCUGAUACUGUUCGACUAGAGAGUAGUUGCGGUAGGCGGAAUGUAUGGUGUAGCGGUGAAAUGCUUAGAGAUC